rnacentral:rRNA from 1 species
CUACGGGAGGCACCAGUGAGGAAUAUUGCACAAUGGGGGGAACCCUGAUGCAGCAACGCCGCGUGGAGGAUGACGCAUUUCGGUGUGUAAACUCCUUUUAUAUGUCAAGAAAAUGACGGUAGCAUAUGAAUAAGCACCGGCUAACUCCGUGCCAGCAGCCGCGGUAAUACGGAGGGUGCAAGCGUUACUCGGAAUCACUGGGCGUAAAGGACGCGUAGGCGGGUUGGAAAGUCAGGUGUGAAAUCCUACAGCUUAACUGUAAAACUGCACUUGAAACUUCUAAUCUAGAGUAUGGGAGGGGGAGAUGGAAUUAGUGGUGUAGGGGUAAAAUCCGUAGAUAUCACUAGGAAUACCUAAAGCGAAGGCGAUCUCCCGGAACAUUACUGACGCUAAGGCGUGAAAGCGUGGGGAGCAAACAGGAUUAGAUACCCGUGUAGUC